GGAAGCUUGUCCACGAUCAUUCAAGCACUUACCAAACUUCGGACGACAGAUCGGAAAGUUUCUUCGUUCAGAAACUCGACCACUUCAAUCGCCAACAAGAUGGCACCUUCAAGCAGAGGUAUUUCAUCAACAACACCCACUGGACCGGCAAAUCCGAGAGCCCCGUG
rnacentral:ribozyme from 1 species